rnacentral:rRNA from 1 species
UACGGAGGGGGCUAGCGUUGUUCGGAAUUACUGGGCGUAAAGCGCACGUAGGCGGAUUGAUAAGUCAGGGGUGAAAUCCCGAAGCUCAACUUCGGAACUGCCUUUGAUACUGUUAGUCUAGAGUCCGAGAGAGGUGAGUGGAAUUCCUAGUGUAGAGGUGAAAUUCGUAGAUAUUAGGAAGAACACCAGUGGCGAAGGCG